CUAUGAUCUACCGUGUCGAUUCCAACUCAGAGAAUCUUUACAUCUGGAGAUCUACAGCAGGGCUAUCCCUAGUGACAUGCGUGAAGGAGCUUGGAAAUGGUGCUGGGUAGGAGCUGAGUGUGCAGAAUGUGGAAAGGCAUUCUAAACCUAAGGAAGAACAUGAGUAAAGAUGAUGAAGCAGGGAUAAGGCUAAAAUGAAAUAUGUGAUCUGAUCCACAUACAAACACAGCGUAGUACAGCUGGAAUAUAGAGAAGAGCUUGAGGACCCAUGAGCAACUAUCCCAGUACUCUUGGAGGCUCUGCCACCACAGUUUGAGAAACUCCGCAUUCAAAGUUAAAAACUGUCACCUGAAUAGUUAAUAACAUCAAAGAUUGUGAAAGCAAGUAUAAAUAACACAGAGAUUAAAAUAAUGAGGCAGGAUCAGAAACACUGACCUGCUGUGUAGGAAGUCCAACUGCCCUGAGGCCACAAGGCUGGAGAGACCAUGUAUGGAUAGGUUCUCUGAUCAACAGUCCCUAUCAAGCCCAGCCUUCUAGCCAUGUCCACCAACGUGCCUGACAUGUGGGUGAAGCCAUCACAGACCCUUCAGACCAGCCCAUCUGCCAGCUGAAUACUUGGGUUAUGGUGGCCAUCCAGACAUAAAGAAAUUAGAACGUUCAUUCACCUGCAGAUGCUCACACAUUCCUACAGGAUGACUGAAACCCACAGCGAACAA
rnacentral:lncRNA from 1 species